rnacentral:lncRNA from 1 species
GUGCCUUAUAACAUGUCUUUAUAACUGGCUGUGUAAGAAUGAAGAAAAGCUGUCCAUCUUCUGAGAAGGAAGCAGCAUGUGCCAUCCUUCUGUCAGAAAACACCAAAGAGAUGAAGAAAUGAGAAAUCCAGAAACCAAAGACCUUGCUCUUUUGUCAAACAGACUUGGUAGAGCAGAGUUGCAAAAUCAGACCUUUGGGGGCUUGCGUGUUUCUCCUCUUACUCCCUGGUGUAGAAGCCCUGCCUUGAACUUCAGGCUGCCUGGCUUGGAUCCUGAUGCUGCUUUGCUGACACAAUCCAUUCUCCCAGGGAACACCCAGAGUUCCACUCCAGCCCUGGCAACGCUGCAGCAGAGGCCAACUGUACGGAAAGUCUACAUUGGCUCGGAACAAUUGAGGCUGGGAGAGGGUAUCACAGCAAUUUCCCCACAUCCAUUCCAGCUGGUGAUUUCCUGCUUGGUCGUCUUUUAAAACCCAGCCAUCUGAAUCCGAGAGUUGCUUCUUCAGCAAGGCCUCCCCUGACUCCUUCAGAUGUCUAAGCACCACCCCUACUCUUCUGCUGCAGCAUCUCCACUUGCUUUUGUCCUUCAUCUCCCUGAAAUUAUUUGCUUACUCAUCCAUCCAUGUCAGUUGCAAAAGCAUGACUUCCUCUAGUCCAAAGGCCAUUCAUGUUCAAUAUGUUAGCACUCGGAGCGUCUCCAGUGGUUGUUUCAAACAAGGCAAAUGAGUUCAGUUGAACUUUAUAUGUUCUGCCCUCCGACUGUGACUGUUAUUUACUUCCCUCCAAACAAAAUGUAAUAAUAAAAUGACUAACUG